AGAGUUUGAUCCUGGCUCAGGAUGAACGCUGGCGGCGUGCCUAAUACAUGCAAGUCGAACGAAUCUUCUUCGGAAGAUGAGUGGCGAACGGGUGAGUAAUACAUAGGUAACCUGCCCCUGUGCGGGGGAUAACAGGAGGAAACUCCUGCUAAUACCGCAUAGCCAUGAGCACCGCAUGGAGCUCAUGCCAAAUAUCCUUUCGGGGAUAGCGCAGGGAUGGACCUAUGGCGCAUUAGCUUGUUGGCGGGGCAACGGCCCACCAAGGCAACGAUGCGUAGCCGGCCUGAGAGGGCGGACGGCCACAUUGGGACUGAGACACGGCCCAGACUCCUACGGGAGGCAGCAGUAGGGAAUUUUCGGCAAUGGGGGAAACCCUGACCGAGCAACGCCGCGUGAGCGAAGAAGGCCUUCGGGUCGUAAAGCUCUGUUGUAAAGGAAGAACGGCGCAUACAGGAAAUGGUAUGCGAGUGACGGUACUUUACCAGAAAGCCACGGCUAACUACGUGCCAGCAGCCGCGGUAAUACGUAGGUGGCGAGCGUUAUCCGGAAUCAUUGGGCGUAAAGAGGGAGCAGGCGGCCGCAAAGGUCUGUGGUGAAAGACCGAAGCUAAACUUCGGUAAGCCAUGGAAACCGGGCGGCUAGAGUGCGGAAGAGGAUCGUGGAAUUCCAUGUGUAGCGGUGAAAUGCGUAGAUAUAUGGAGGAACACCAGUGGCGAAGGCGACGGUCUGGGCCGCAACUGACGCUCAUUCCCGAAAGCGUGGGGAGCAAAUAGGAUUAGAUACCCUAGUAGUCCACGCCGUAAACGAUGGUCACUAAGUGUCGGGGGUCAAACCCCGGUGCUGCAGUCAACGCAAUAAGUGACCCGCCUGAGUAGUACGUUCGCAAGAAUGAAACUCAAAGGAAUUGACGGGGGCCCGCACAAGCGGUGGAGCAUGUGGUUUAA
rnacentral:rRNA from 1 species